rnacentral:lncRNA from 1 species
CCACACACUUCUGCAAUGAUGCUCCUGCCUUAGAGCCUGCUGACCAUGGACUGAAUCUCCUGAAACCAUGAGCCAAAUUAAACCUCUCCUUUAAGAAGUGAGCAACAGGUUUUGUGUCCAGUGAUGGGAAAGUGGACUUACUAGCUUCAGCUGGAGUCUGAGUCUGAGUCUGGAAAAGACUAAUGUCCCAGCUCAGGGACAGGAGGACAGGAAGAACUCUUUCCUCUGUGUUCUCUCCUGUUCUCACCCUUCAUAGGCUGGAUGAUGCUCUACAGCCUGGAGGAUUCAGACAGACAGUUCCCACAUUUGUGCUCAUAAACCCAGGGGGUGAGCAUUGUUCUGUCAUUUGCAGAUGGGAAAACAGAACAGGCAAAGAUGAGUUGUGGCCCCACUGCUAAAGACAAAACUUGGGGAUGGCUUCGUCCUCCAAAUUCUGUCCCCUCCAGUGGGGAGCCAGGCACUCUCAACCCUGAGACUCGAGAAGGGAGGUGCUGGCCUGUGCAGGUCCUGUGAUGGAAUGCAGAGGGUAAGUUCUAGAAUUUGGCAGUUUGAGGGUUUUAUUUCUUGGAAAGUGAGUAGAAUGCUGGGGCUGUGUCUUGGACCUUAAAGUGACCCUGUGCAAGAGACAAGCAAAGCCGGUCAGAGCUGGCACUGGGCAUGACAGCCAUGACAGCAGACCUGAGACACUGUGCUCCUGGGGACUCUCUGCUGGGUGUGGGAGCUGGCAGGGAGGCCACGUGUCAGGGACACACAGGAAACUCGGAGCCUGAGGAGGCAGGGACGGCACACGGUCACCGGCUUCCAUUGCAUGAGGACCAUGAAAUCCACAGCACUCGGGGAACAUGUUCUUCACUCUGUGGGACGCUGGAGGAAAGCAUCAAGUGCCUGGAUUAGCCUCAUGUGGAGAGCGAGCGAAGGGUGUGGACCUUGGUGACAUUGCGUGUCUCGGUUCCUCUGCAGGGUCGCUGAUUUCAGCCGAGUUUUGAGCCAGAGGCUUCAAAAAGCACCCGAUCAG